AAUGUAUGACGCUGUUGACUUUUUGAUUAAUGUUUGACCAUUCGUCUUAUUCAAAAAAUUUCUAUAAUUAUCAUUUAUUUUAUUGUGACUUAAUUUAUCAUCGAAAAAUCUUUAAGCAUGACAUAAAUAUUUUCAUAUUUGCACAAAAAAAAUAAAUAAGACGAAUGGUCAAAUGUUGGUUAAAAAGUCAAUGGCGUCAUACAUU
rfam:Oryza glaberrima chromosome 3 Oglab03_0140_13, whole genome shotgun sequence.